rnacentral:lncRNA from 1 species
ACUGUUGGAGGUAUGCCCUAGAGGCAAUCAUAGAGAUGAUGAUAUUCCAUUUGUAUCCACGAUUUGUAUAUUGUGUUCAUUGAAUAUCCAUUAAAGGCUACUUGAAUUGAUUUACAAUUAUGUGAAUUGUAUGUGAAACUUUUUCUUGUAUGGUUAUUCUAAAGUUGUCCCUAGUCGGAGUUCAUGUGAGGACACACAUGAAUAUUAGACUAGCACAUGUAUUAGUUGAUGACUAUGUUUCAUAAGUCAUGGACAUGGAGAUGUUGAACUAAUAAUGUGGACACAUGUG